AAUUAGGUGCCUGACAAAAAGGGUUAUCUUGAUAGGAUAAAUAAUGUAGAUUUCUACCCUUAUUA
rnacentral:tRNA from 1 species